UCACCAGACUCCUACGGGAGGCAGCAGUGGGGAAUAUUGCACAAUGGGGGGAACCCUGAUGCAGCGACGCCGCGUGGGUGAAGGAGCACCUCGGUGCGUAAAUCCCUAUCGGCAGGGAAGAAACAGACGGUACCUGACUAAGAAGCCCCGGCUAACUGCGUGCCAGCCGCCGCGGUAAUACGUAGGGGGCAAGCGUUAUCCGGAUUCACUGGGUGUAAAGGGAGCGUAGACGGCGAGGCAAGUCUGGAGUGAAAGCCCGGGGCCCAACCCCGGGACUGCUCUGGAAACUGCGGCGCUGGAGUACGGGAGGGGCAGGCGGAAUUCCUGGUGUAGCGGUGAAAUGCGUAGAUAUCAGGAGGAACACCAGUGGCGAAGGCGGCCUGCCGGACGAUGACUGACGCUGAGGCUCGAAAGCGUGGGGAGCAAACAGGAUUAGAUACCCGGGUAA
rnacentral:rRNA from 1 species